UACAGAGGGGGCAAGCGUUGUUCGGAAUUACUGGGCGUAAAGGGCGCGUAGGCGGCCCGCUAAGUCGAACGUGAAAUCCCCGAGCUCAACUCGGGAACUGCGUCCGAUACUGGCGGGCUUGAAUCCGGGAGAGGGAUGCGGAGUUCCAGGUGUAGCGGUGAAAUGCGUAGAUAUCUGGAGGAAUACCGGUGGCGAAGGCGGCAUCCUGGACCGGCAUUGACGCUGAGGAGCGAAAGCUAGGGGAGCAAACGGG
rnacentral:rRNA from 1 species